CAGUCGCCGCGGGAAUACGUAGGUGGCAAGCGUUGUCCGGAAUUAUUGGGCGUAAAGCGCGCGCAGGUGGUUUAAUAAGUCUGAUAUGAAAGCCCACGGCUCAACCGUGGAGGGUCAUUGGAAACUGUUAAACUUGAGUGCAGGAGAGAAAAGUGGAAUUCCUAGUGUAGCGGUGAAAUGCGUAGAGAUUAGGAGGAACACCAGUGGCGAAGGCGGCUUUUUGGCCUGUAACUGACACUGAGGCGCGAAAGCGUGGGGAGCAAACAGGAUUAGAUACCCGUGUAGUCCCUGUCUCUUAUAC
rnacentral:rRNA from 1 species